rnacentral:tRNA from 1 species
CGAGGUGUAGCGCAAUGGUAGCGCGCUUGCUUUGGGAGCAAGAUGCUGCAGGUUCGAGUCCUGUCACCUCGACCA